rnacentral:misc_RNA from 1 species
GAUGAAGAACGUAGCGAAAUGCGAUAAGUAGUGUGAAUUGCAGAAUUCAGUGAAUCAUCGAAUCUUUGAACGCACAUUGCGCCCCUUGGUAUUCCGAGGGGCAUGCCUGUUCGAGCGUCAUUAUAACCCUUCAAGCUCAGCUUGGUGUUGGGGCCUGCUGUAACUGGUAGCCCUUAAAAUCAGUGGCAGUGCUAUUAGGCUCUAAGCGUAGUAAUUCUUCUCGCUAUAGUGUGUAGUGAGCGCUUGCCAGAACCCCAAACUUUUAUAUGAUUGACCUCGGAUCAGGUAGGGAUACCCGCUGAACUUAAGCAUAUCAAUAAGCGGAGGA